rnacentral:rRNA from 1 species
CCUACGGGUGACAGCAGUGGGGAAUAUUGCACAAUGGGGGAAACCCUGAUGCAGCAACGCCGCGUGGGGGAGGAAGUAUUUCGGUAUGUAAAGCUCUAUCGUCAGAGAAUAUAAAGGCGGGUACCUGAGAAAGAAGCCCCGGCUAACUACGUGCAAGCAGCCGCGGUAAUACGGAGGGGGCAAGCGGUAUCCGGAUUUACUGGGUGUAAAGGGAGCGUAGACGGAAAGGCAAGUCAGAGGUGAAACCCCAAGGCUUAACCAUGGGACUGCUUUUGAAACUGUCAAACUAGAGUAUGGGAGAGGUAAGAGGAAUUCUUAGUGUAGCGGUGAAAUGCGUAGAGAUCAGGAGGAAUACUCGUGGCGAAGGCGUCCUACUGGACCGAAACUGACGCUGAUGCGCGAAAGCGUGGGGAGCAAACAGGAUUAGAUACCCUAGUAGUC